AGGGGAAGGGAGGCAGAGCGAAUGCAUUCUAUGGGAGAGAGAAACGAGAAGUAAGGGAGAAAGCAAUAAUCCAAGCUGGAAGCUCAUCCCUAAAAUCAGACCUAAAAAUGAACACCUCAGCAUAAGCGGAAAUGUGCCCGUGUCUUCACGACAGAAGAAUGGACAGGAAUGAAGCCCUCGAAGAAAGGGGAUGCAGAUAUCAGGCCCCGGUGUUGACGGCGAAGAGAUGACAGCACUCCCUCCGAUGGGGGAUAGACUUUACCUCACAGUCUCUCACCCCAACUCUCCAGACAGCCACUACCAACUGACGGAGAUCGCUUCCGAGCGUCCGGGGCUGCCCUGCCCUGUUGCACAGGACCACAAAGAAGCCAACCCAAGGUCAGCGCCGAAAGUCACCACCCUGGACAUCUUUUUAAACACUUCCAAGCC